rnacentral:rRNA from 1 species
AUAUCAAUAAGCGGAGGAAAAGAAACCAACAGGGAUUGCCCUAGUAACGGCGAGUGAAGCGGCAACAGCUCAAAUUUGAAAUCUGGCUCUUUCAGAGUCCGAGUUGUAAUUUGCAGAGGGCGCUUUGGCUUUGGCAGCGGUCCAAGUUCCUUGGAACAGGACGUCACAGAGGGUGAGAAUCCCGUACGUGGUCGCUAGCUAUUGCCGUGUAAAGCCCCUUCGACGAGUCGAGUUGUUUGGGAAUGCAGCUCUAAAUGGGAGGUAAAUUUCUUCUAAAGCUAAAUAUUGGCCAGAGACCGAUAGCGCACAAGUAGAGUGAUCGAAAGAUGAAAAGCACUUUGGAAAGAGAGUCAAACAGCACGUGAAAUUGUUGAAAGGGAAGCGCUUGCAGCCAGACUUGCUUGCAGUUGCUCAUCCGGGCUUUUGCCCGGUGCACUCUUCUGCAGGCAGGCCAGCAUCAGUUUGGGCGGUGGGAUAAAGGUCUCUGACACGUACCACCUUUCGGGGUGAACAUAUAGGGGAGAUGACAUACCACCAGCCUGGACUGAGGUCCGCGCAUCUGCUAGGAUGCUGGCGUAAUGGCUGUAAGCGGCCCGUCUUGAAACACGGACCAAGGAGUCUAACAUCUAUGCGAGUGUUUGGGUGUCAAGCCCGAACGCGUAAUGAAAGUGAACGGAGGUGGGAACCCGCAAGGGUGCACCAUCGACCGAUCCUGAAGUUUACGGAAGGAUUUGAGUAAGAGCAUGGCUGUUGGGACCCGAAAGAUGGUGAACUAUGCUUGAAUAGGGUGAAGCCAGAGGAAACUCUGGUGGAGGCUCGCAGCGGUUCUGACGUGCAAAUCGAUCGUCAAAUUUGGGCAUAGGGGCGAAAGACUAAUCGAACUAUCUAGUAGCUGGUUCCUGCC